rnacentral:lncRNA from 1 species
AUACGAGAUAAGGAUACACUGUCUUAUUUCAUUUCAUUGUCAAUAUUUUAGAGUACAAAAUCAUGAUUUCAAAGUCCAUAAAAUUUCAAAAAGAAAAAAGAAAAAUACAAUUAUUCGGUGCAUGCACAAAAACCAAAUGACAGCUCCUCGAAUAUUCCAGUAUAAAGUAUAAUCUGCAAUUAUUUUGCUAGAGCAGAAACUCAUUCAUCUAACUAGCCUCUGCUGGCAGUGGCCUUUACGACACCUACCAAUAUAGUUUCUCCCAUUUGGACAAUCUUUAUCUGUUAUACAAGUUUCAGUAUUUGCUACAAAAGCAGAAUCACAUACUAUUAAGACAAGAAACAAUGAAAUAAAUAGAAUCAAAACAUAAACAAACUUCAGAGUUUCAGCCAUAUUUUUCGUUCUUUGCAUUUAAAAGAUAGGAUAAGAUUUGAUAUAAAUAUAGUGUAUAAAAUUUAUGCUCUAAUAAAAAUAAUUAAAUGUUUGAAUAUUUUUAAAAUUUUAAAACCCUUCAUAAAAUUAUAAUAAUAAAUGUCUCUUCAGUAUAUAAGUGGGUUGUGUUUGUUCUUUCCACACCUAGAAAGAAGUUCAACUAUUAAACUUGAUAAUCAUAAGCAUUGAAUAUUAUUUGACUAAUUUUUCGGAUAUUACUUUAUCCUUUCGUUAUAAUAAAGGGAAAAAAUAUUUUUGAAUAUCAUAAUAUUAACUACAAAUAUAAUGCACCAUUGAGAUUGAGACCAUAUUUAUGCACAAGUAGAAUGCACUUAGGAUCAAUUUUAUUUUUUUUAUUUAAUCAUUGGAUCUUAAAUAAUAAAGUUCAUAACUUUUUUAUCCUUUCGUGAUAAUAAAGGGAAAAAAAUAGUUUUUUGAAUAUCAUAAAAUUAUCUACGGAUAUAAUGAACCACUAGGAUAGAGACCGUAACGUCUGUUUUGAUUAAUUAAUUAUUUUGUUGAGUUUAGAAUAUAUUUAUAUGAUUUAUGUGAUUUAAGUGAUUUAUGUGAUUUAAUGAGGUGUUGUGACUUAUUUUAUUGUUUAAUAAAAUAAGAUUUGAAAAUAAAAAAAAAAAUAUUGAGAUGAGGGGUUGUUUUGAGAUUUUAGAGAGUUUUGGGGAAGAAAGAGGAAAUAAGAUAGAAUAGAUAUAAAUAGGUGAGAGCUAGGUUUAGAAAAGUUUAACGUACGAUCAAUUUUGGAGAAAAUGGAGAAAAGUCAAGAGAAGAGAGAAGAACCAACAAGAGGCUGCGAUUUCAAAUUCUUAAGGUAAGGACGAGACUAACAUUCAAUCUUAUUAAGUCUGUAAUUCUGAUAGUUGUAUUUAACAAGUGUAGGAUUAGUUUUAGACAAUUGGAGAAUCAGGUUAAAGUGAGGAAUUGAUGAUUAAUUGAUGAAAAAGUGUUAGAUUGAUGUAGAAACUGUUUACAGACCUUAGAUAAUCCAUAGUUUGAUAUUUGGAAUCAAUGUUAAGCUUAAAACCAUGCCUUUAGGUGGAUUUUCGUGAAAACUGCAAUUAUGCCAGAGCAAACAUUCAUCGCUCGCCUCCCGAGUGAUGAUCCUCGCCCUCGCGAGUGGUGAUCUUCAUUGUUCGCCUCGCGAGUUGCACCUUGCAGCUCGCCAUAGCGAGUGUGACCAGUGAGUCGACCAUGAUUUUGUAAAUUGAUCCUUUAGUCGAGCUCUAGAUGUUUUUUAGUGCCUGAAUAUGUAUAAUAAUGAUUAGGCAAGUUUUUAGAUUGAGAUUGAACCUGGGAAAGUUUAAAAAUGGAUUUUUGGAUGAAAAAUGUCAAAUUCCCGAGAGCACCUAGUUUCUUGUUUGCCAAGGCGAAUGCCUAAUUCUUGAACUCGCCAUAGCGAGUAGAGUGGCUCGCCUUGCGAGCUGCCCAGUUUCAGAAUACCUUGUUUAGGGUAGGAAUGGAGGUUAUAUAUGAUAUUAAUGAUGAUCUGUGAAGCUUUUUAAGAUGAUUUGAUGUUGUUAAUAAUGUGAUAUAUUUGUAUAUGCAUUACAUGAAUUAUAUAUGAUGUUUGAGAUGUUGUUCAUUUGCAUUGAUAUUGUUAUAUCAUGAGCUGUUUUAUAUACUGCCUAUGUUGUUGUUAGUUUAUUAACUAAGCUGCAUGAGUCGGUCUAAGUUGAAAGAUGUUGUUCCAAAUUAUUGAAUUUAUAUAAGAGGUCGAUGUUUCUAAGAUGUAAGUUGUUGAGUCCAUGCAUACUCAUUCAUUGUUGGGGGCUUGAUGCCCUAGAGCUUUAGCUCAAUUAAGUUGAGGGCUUGAUGCCCUGGAAGUAUAUUAAUACUUAAUAUGUUGAGGGCUUAAUGCCCUAGAUUGGUACCACAUGCAUGAUUAAGAGGUCUAAGUUGCAUAGUCAAAUUGAAGUCACAUUGUCGAGUCGAGUUGUUAAGUUUUGUUCUAUACAUGAGUUGUUAAUGAAGUAUGAUAUGAUUAUAUUAUUAUCUAUGAUGAGAUUAUGAUGUUGUUAUGUUGUUAAAUAUAAUUGAUGAAUUAUAUGCUUAAUAUUAUUGUUUUGUGAAAUCUCACCCCUUCUGCUUGGAAAUGUUGCUCUUCGUAUGAGUAAUUUGCAGGUGAUCGAGAAUAAGUAGUUGUUGAUUGCUGUCGUGAGUGGCUAUCUCUCACUGUGUCUUUAGGUGCUCUGAUUAGUAACGGGAUGGGAACUUUUGUGGCUAUUUUCUAUUCCUUACAUAUUUGAUUAUGAAUUUAUAUGAUUAAGUUGUUAAUUGGAUUUUUAUGAGAUGUUUUGAUGAGGCCUUCGUGCCAAGACUAUUUAUGUUGUUGAAUUAAAUCCGCUGCGAAGUUUUGAAUAUUUAUGUUGAUUGAUUUAUGAAGGAUAAAUUGUUAUUUAUUCCAUUUAUGAAUUUUAAGAAGUGUAACAUUCCGUUUAUGUGGAAAACUCUGAUUAUUUAAAUUAAAUUUUUUAUGUUGGAAAAACAGGAUAUUAAAGAGACCAUAUUUAUGCACAAGUAGAAUGCACUUAGUAUCAUUUUUUUUUAUUUAAUCAUUGGAUCAUAAAUAAUUAUCGUUGGAUCAUAAAUAAUAUGAGACAUUUGCUAAAAUAGUGUGUCUGAACUGUACCACAAAAGUUCUUGACUAUUACUUUUCUCGCCCUCCUCUGUUGUCGGGCGCCCUGCAUAGAAGACACAAAUACCCCUGGUCUGGAUUAUGUAAUUCGAAAUACAUUGUUAACAUUUCUUUUUUUUUGGUUACAACAUUGUUAGCAUUUCCGGAAAACAAAAUCUGAACAGUUACAUUAUGUGAUUUUUUGUGUUUUCUUUAAUGUCAAAUGUCUCUGUUGACUGUUAUAUAACCUCCGCAUAAGCUGAAAAGCAAUUGCAGGAGUUAUAUGAACGGUCAACAAUGACCAUGACACCACAAACACUCCUAAAAAUCUAAUUUGGAUACAAAUCAAAAUUCAAUUACAACUAUUUUUAUUAAUGUCCUAAAUAGUUAGCACAUCUACAAAAUUACACAUGAGUGUAUUUGCAUUAUGGUGAAAAUGUUGAUUGAAGAAGCUUUGACCGAACAAAACGAUGUUCAUCUGAAGUCUCUUCAUUACUUUGAUAAUAUUUGGUGAUAUGUACAUCCUAAGGUUGAUAGCCAUUUCAUUUUGACCUUGAGCACAAAAAAGUUUUGCUUCUUCAAUCUGCCAUCCGGAACCAGAGCAAUAAUCAUAGCUAACUCAUCAAAAUUUGAGGCUUAAAUAACGCCUAAAUUAAGGUGGUUCGCAUAGAUUGUGUAUGAGAUAAUUAAAUAACAUUGGCAAUCCACAAUGAUGUAAUUAAAUGAAGCAUCUAGCAUAUAUAUAUAUACGAAUUUGUAGAAUAAGAUCAUGUGAUCUAGAAGUCCUAGCUCAACUGGCAAAAAUGCCGAUAUUGUUAGGCCGGAUGCCAUGACCGGGGUUCGAACUCCGGUACCUCCACUUGUGUGUGUGAGUUUAUAAUGGCUUUGCCAUUUCGUCUAUCUACCAAAAAAAAAGAAUAAGAUCAUGUGCAAACCUAUUUCAUGUCACUCAAUAAAUACUAUCCUUUUAUGUGUGUUUGGUUUGCAAAACAGCAUGUACUGUACAUAACAGUACAAUAUAGAACAGUACAACACAAGGCAGAACAGCACAUGAUAAAUUUUUUAUGACAUUGAGUAAUUUUUUGUUUUAUACGAUUUUUUUAGGGACAAAAUGUUAUUUUGAUAUUUUAGACAACUUGUACGUGGGACAAAAAGUUGUGUUGUGGUUUGGUGAGGGACAAAAAUAUGAGUUUUUGUCCUGUCCCUUGCCUCCAGUUUAUCUUGUACCUGAAACAGUUUUACAAAUCAAACACUGAACAACUAGAGUUGUUCUGCACUGUCCUUCAUUUUUUAGCAAAUCAAAUGCACCCUCGUGGAGUCGAAUCUUCAUCACAUUGAAAGAGUCUAGCCUUUUCAAUUAGAUCAACCGAGUUAAUUGUCCACUUUGUGUUUAUUGUUUUGUUACUAACUAAACACUAAAUAAAAACUAAACGGAUAGGAUGAAUUCUUAAUUAAAUGUACCAAAAAUAAUAAGGGUUAAAUAUAUUUUUUAUUCCUAUAAAUAUGUCAACUUUUUGUUUUAAUCCUUUUAAAAUUUUCUUUCAACUUUUACUCUUUAUAAAAUUUUCAAUCACUACUUUUGAUCCCUAUUAAUAAGUUAAUUUUUGUAUUUUUUUUUUUAAUGAAAUUGUGCAGAAAUGUGUAGAAUAUUGUAAAAAAAUAUUUCCAAAAAAAAAUUAGAAUUUUUUUUUUUAACAAAACACAAAUUAAAUAUAAAUUUUUAACUGUACAAAAUUCAUAUUAAAUUCAUAUUUUGUUAAAAAAUUCUAAUUUUAUUUGGGAGAGAUUCUCAUAAUAUUAUGAAUUUUUCUGCAAAAUUUUAUUCAAAAGUAUGAAUUGUACAUAUGAGUUUACUGUAAAGGAGGGACUAAAAGUGAAGAUGAAAAAAAUUAGGGAUCAAAAAUUGAAGAAAUUUUUUAAAAGGACUAAAACGAAAAGUUGAUAUAUUUACAGGGAUAAAAAACAUAUAUGAAAUAGGGAGGGAGGUGCAACAGACAACAGGGUCCUAACUCAAAUAAUUAGAUUGGUUGACAUAAAAAACAUUCAUAUCCACGUCACCCUGAAUUUUCAGCAGUCAAAUCAACCAAUUAGAAAGAACUAAGAAAGAGACAUUUAUUUUGUUCUAUUUGGAGCUAAUAAUUAUUCUCUACCAAUAAAUUUGGCUAACCACCUUUAAUGAAUUUGAGACUUUACUUAAAAAUUCAGGCUCAAUUCCACUCAAACCAACAUAUAUUUGUAUUACAUUUAUAUCAACAUGUUAUGGUUAAUAGAAAUGUUAUAUAUAAAGACAUUGAGAACUCUCUACUCAUAUCUAAAACAUGCCUUAGAAUUAAUAUAGUCAACCUUAUAAUUAAAUUCAAAAGGUUCAAUUCAUUUGAAUGGCACCCUCUUCAAGUUUUGUUCCUGUUGUUGUUUUUCUUGGUUUAGUUUUAGUACUAAGUUUUUUAGGGAAACAUAAUUAGUGAACUUAUAAUAGAUGUUUAUAUUGAAUAUUUUUUAUUUUUCAAAUUCUGAUUUUCUUAAAAAUCAUCAUUUAUUUACCCAAAUAUUAAUUGGUGUCAUAAGCAUAAACGUCAAAUAGUAGUGGUUACUAGAAGUUUGAUUGACCCAACAAGGAGAGGGAGGAGAUUCGAAGAAUCCUAAUCGCCAUCAUCAUUCUAAUUUAGCGGUACUUUUAUUUACUUUUAUGUUUAACAAUAACAACUCUUUGCAACUCCCCUGUUUUUAAUCAAGUUUAGUUUAAUUGUCUUGCAAAAGCAACAAUUCAUGUGGAGAAGAUAACUUACUACUUUAUUAAUUGAUAUGAUUUGACGCGCUUUCCGAAAUUAUCAUUGUCUAAAAAUUUGAAUGAAUAAAUAUUAUUUUUUUUUUAAAAGUAAGCUACAAAUUAUUUUUCAACUUAACUAUUAAAGUGAUAUUUUUAGAUGGUUGGAUUGAAAGAAAAAAAAGUUUUAUAUGUCUGAAAUGCAGAUCAUGGCAAUACCUUUAAAUUUAUGACAUAAGAAGACAUCUAUAAAUAAUUCUAUUUCAUGCCUUAUUUCAUUGCAUUGCAAUUAUCUCAUAGUAUAAAAUCAUAAUUUUAAGGUCCUUGAAAAUAGGAGAAAAAAUUAUUAGGUGCUUACACAAAUACCAAAUGAAAGCUCCUCAAAUAUUCUAGCAUACAAUAUAUUGUACAAUUCUUUGGUUAGAGCAAGAACUCUUUCAUCUCAACCUGCUACUCAUACAAAAGCCUUUCCGACAUUUACCUUUAUAAUUCUUCCUGUUUGGACAAUCUUUAUCUGUUUUACAAGGACGUGAAAUAGGGUAAUAAAUAGAAUCACAUCCUAUUACGACGAGAAAUAUGGAAAUAAAUAGAAUCAGAACAUAAACAAACUUCAGAGUUUCAGCCAUAUUUUUCACUCUUUGCAUCUAAUGUAGGAUAUGAUUUGAUCUAUUUAUAGUGUAUAAAAUUCAUGCUCUCAUAAUCUCAUAAUCAUUAAAUAGUUUAAACAUUUAUAAAAUUUUAAAAACUCUUCAUAAAAUUAAAAUAAUAGUAAAUGUCUCUUAAGUAUAUCUAUGUGUUGUAUUGGUCCUUGAUCACACUAGGAAAGGAGUUCAAAUCAUAAAAUUGCAAAUGUGAAGAAAAAAGUAAUGAGAAGUUAUAAUUUAAAUAAUAUUCAAUUCUUAUCAUAAUCAAUUUUAUAAUUUGAAGCAAGAGCCAACACAGCAAAUUGAUAUCUUUAAGAGGUGUUGAUGGUUGGAUUAGGCAAGUGUGACAAAUCGUUCACUAAGUAAUACAAUGAUAAGUAGAGUAUCGUAUCCACAUAAGUUGUCGUUUCAUACAAACAAUUCGUGUUACUUAUUUUAGAACAAAAUAAUAAAUAAAAG